rnacentral:rRNA from 1 species
GACGAACGCUGGCGGCGUGCUUAACACAUGCAAGUCGAACGGAAAGGCCCUGCUUUUGUGGGGUGCUCGAGUGGCAAACGGGUGAGUAACACGAGAGUAACCUGCCCUUGACUUUGGGAUAACUUCAGGAAACUGGGGCUAAUACCGGAUAGGAGCUCCUGCUGCAUGGUGGGGGUUGGAAAGUUUCGGCGGUUGGGGAUGGACUCGCGGCUUAUCAGCUUGUUGGUGGGGUAGUGGCUUACCAAGGCUUUGACGGGUAGCCGGCCUGAGAGGGUGACCGGCCACAUUGGGACUGAGAUACGGCCCAGACUCCUACGGGAGGCAGCAGUGGGGAAUAUUGCACAAUGGGCGGAAGCCUGAUGCAGCAACGCCGCGUGCGGGAUGACGGCCUUCGGGUUGUAAACCGCUUUCGCCUGUGACGAAGCGUGAGUGACGGUAAUGGGUAAAGAAGCACCGGCUAACUACGUG